rnacentral:rRNA from 1 species
ACGGAGGGUGCAAGCGUUAUCCGGAUUUACUGGGUUUAAAGGGUGCGUAGGUGGGUCUGUAAGUCAGUGGUGAAAUCUCCGGGCUUAACCCGGAAACUGCCAUUGAUACUAUAGGUCUUGAAUACUCUGGAGGUAAGCGGAAUAUGUCAUGUAGCGGUGAAAUGCUUAGAUAUGACAUAGAACACCAAUUGCGAAGGCAGCUUACUACGGGGUCAUUGACACUGAGGCACGAAAGCGUGGGGAUCAAACAGGAUUAGAUACCCUGGUAGUCCACGCCCUAAACGAUGGAUACUCGACAUCAGCGAUACACUGUUGGUGUCUGAGCGAAAGCAUUAAGUAUCCCACCUGGGAAGUACGACCGCAAGGUUG